rnacentral:lncRNA from 1 species
GAGAUAGAGAUGGGAUAGAGGGAGAAAGGGUGAGGGAGAGAGGGUGAAGCGACAGAGUGACAGAGAGAGAUGGAGGGAAGGUGAGGAGUAGGGAAUGUUGCUGUUGACGACUCAGUCACUAACUCAGAUCUCCUCCUUAACCCCAAUGCCCACCGAGUCCAGUGUUUCGCUCUCCAAGCCCAUAGAAGGCAGCUUCGUCGACAUGAUUGAUAAAGCUUUGGAGAACGAGUUCGAAGAGAAUGAUUAGAACAAAGGUUAAUAGUAGAUAUGAUGUUCUUCUUCUUUCUAUGCAUUUUGGUUCAAAUUAGGGUUUUAGGUCGAAACCUGAAACGAAAAGAAAUGAAGAUAUGAAGGAUCUUCGAAUUUUGUGUUUGGCUGAUAGGAAAAGAUUACAAAUUUGUUAAGAUAAGUUGGUUAUGAUAUGAAAUUUCAUUCUUAAAAAUCCAUCAGAUCAUGCUUAAAUUGUUAGAUGCACACACUCUGUUUUUUCUCUCUCGCAAUGGAACUCUCUCUACUUCAUGCUCAAUCCUCUACUUCUUCUCUGAUUCAUGGUUGGGUGCAGCGGCAGCACAGAGCUUUCGCCGGAGGGAGAAAGGAUUUUGAUACGAGACAUUACUUGCUCACCCAAAGGUUCCAAUUUUUUGCAUUCUUUUGGGUUUAUUUAUUUAUGAAAUUUGAUGACUAAUUUUUAAAUAAUUAGAAAUUAGUUCUUCGUUGUGAAAGGUUCAUUUUUCGUUCUUUCCGUGAUUUUCAAUUGUAUAUUAGUAAUGCUUUGAAAAAUGCAUGAUUCAUUAAGUGAAAGACGCUAACCGAAUAGUUAGAGAUGGCGCAAGCAAGGAUCAUAUAGCCUUAUUGACUACAAGCAAGUUACUUUUAUUUGUGUUUGUAGUGAUGUAAUGCUGGUUCUGUUUAUUGUGAUUUUAAAUCAAAUGCCUUACUUUGUCUAAAUUUACUACAAGAUCUAUAAUCUGUAUCUUGUGGGAAAUGGUAAAUAGGCCAUUUUCGGAAUGACAUGAAAUUAGUUGGAUAUGGCAUAAAAAGAGGGGAUACUUGUAGUCUCAUAAAUCUAUUUCAGUUGAAGAAUGCAUUUUGGCGAGGGAACUUUGAGCUGAUUAGUGAAGAACCAAAUUGUCUUAUAGCAUGCUUCUCAUUUAUUUAAAAUAUGGAUUGGAUUCCUAUAAAUAUUUUAGCGAUUGACUAUAGAUAAGGCAAUCGCAUUGCCGCUUUAAGAUAAGGCAGUUGUAUUUUUCAAAGUGAAUUAUCUCAUACAAAACUAUGUGAAAUGGGCUAAAGUAUAAUCUGGGACUUUUACCUCAAUAUAGACCUUGUCUAUAUGCCAGAAUGGUUUGUUUAAGCACCUUUUAAGUUAUAUUAUGUUUUCUAUUUAAAAAAAAAAAAAAGAGAGAAGAAGUUAUCUCCUGUCUUUUGGUAUCAGAACCGUCUAUCUAUACAUGAUCAUUUCUUCAUUGCUUCACUAUAGGUGAGAAUGUUAUGCGAUAAAGCCAAGGAAAUUCUAAUGGGAGAAAGCAAUGUUCAGGUGUAAAUUUUGGUCUCUUUAGUCUCUUAUUAUAUUUGUAUUACAUUACAUAUUUCACUGUUAUUUCAUUUUGUAUGGGAAAAAAGCGUUAUUAUUGUCCUUCAUUUUGAAUUGGUAACACUGGUGUGGAUCUUUUAAACUAUCUGGGUAGACUCUUCUUAUUAUUUAUUUGCAUGCAUGUGAAAAGGCCAAUGACAAUUUGUGGCGAUAUUCAUGGGCAAUUUCAUGACCUUGCAGAGCUUUUUCGAAUUGGAGCGUUUUCUUGCUUGCAAUUUUGAAUUAUUUCAAAUUAUGAAUGAAAAAGCUUUUGGAAAUUAGAUACUUUCUAUGAAGAUCUUUCUUUGGAGUUCAGUAAAUUGAUUGCUCCUUUGGCUGUAAGUUUGACAUUAGUAAAUUCUGGACUUAAUUUCAGUGAUUACCCAGCAUUAAUUGUUAUUGAUUAGCAUUUGUUUUAUGGAAUUUGGACUCUGAACAGUUCAAAUGUUUUGGGAAAGGAAUGCAUUUUAAUCAAGCCAAUUGGGUGGUCUUAGCAAUACAAUGUCGAAAUUUUUUAAAUCCAAGUCCGACAAUUUUGGCAAGAUGCAAAUGAGCUGUGAUUGGGAAGGUAAUAUCAUCUUAAUAUAUUUUUCAAAGCAAUUUACGUAUUUGCAUUUUUCAGCUUUAUGUAUCCAAGAGGUUUCAAGUGUUAGUGAGGACCUCGAAAUGUAUGUAUUAAGGUUAAUCAGUAGUGGUACAAAAUAUAAACAUCACUUUGAGUGAUUAAUAUAAACUCUGUAUGUUUUCGUUUUGAAUGUUGAAGUUGGAAAUUGCUUUGGUUAGGAUACUAAUGAUCAGAAAAUAACUUUGUUUAAGGAAUGCACAAAUAGUCUACAGGUGGAUUUUCAUGGAAAAGUUGACUAAAUUUCUUCUUUGUUGUUUCCAUAUGGUGCUUCUGAAGGAAAAAAUUUGUCCUAGCUAAGAACAAGUAAGAACAUUUGAAUACAUAUGCAAACUAUUAACACAUUAAAGUAGGCAUGCAUUAAAAAACAAUUCAUAAAACCCAUGACUUUCAAAGCCUAGUGAAUGGUGAACCAAAAGACUCUUUAACAACAUUAAAGAGAAUGAAGAAUUUAAAGAUUCUUUACCCUUGAAGCUCAUUCUUGUUUACACAAGUGAUUCACCCAAGUGGAGGGCCUUCAAGUCACCUCCAAGCUCCUUGGAUCUUGCUUGUGAUUUCCUUCUCCUUUUGUGCUCCUUUGGUCCUUGAGGAUGUGAGGAAAGGAUCUCCAAAACACCAAAGGUUUGGUGUCUCUAAGUCUCCACACCAAGGGUGAGGUGUGAAGAUGAAAUGGAUGACUGAGAGAAGAAAAGAUUGCUAGAUAAAUCUCCUCUAAGUGGCCGGCCUCCUUGUUGAAAAAGAGAGAAUAUGUUUCACCUCUUUUCUACAAGAAAAACCCUAAUGAGAAAAAUAGCUAUAAAGUUGCUUUUAUAACACUUUUCUUAGGCGAGUGGUGUUGGAAGUAUGCCCACAAAGCCACUCAUUUGAUGUAAUAGCUUUUUGGAAUACUUAUUAUGUUAAACUUUU